AGGGAAAUAGCUCAAUGGUAGAGUGCAUGCUUGGCACUCACAAGGUCCUGGGUUCGAUCCCCAGUACCUCUG
rnacentral:tRNA from 1 species